AAACUGUCUCUUGGUGAAGUCGAUUUUCAUCGCCGCUGUCGGCUUCUUCAGCUCCAGCCAGACACACACCAUUCUCUCCCCAUUCCUCAAAGUUCUCUGGUGCUCUCUCUCUCCAUCCCUCGCACUCGGGCUGUUUUUCCAAGUUUUUCCACCGACGAGGCGGAUCACACCGAUUCUGAGGGCAGUUUGAGAGUAUUUUGUGAAAAAUUCCCCUCGGAGAGACUUAAUAAUUAAGUGAAGUGAACAGUGAUGGACUGAUAGACAGUAAAACUGUAGAAAAUGCGAGAAAAUCAUCAUAGCGAACAAAUUGUGCGACUGAUAGGGAACUGGAUUUUCCUGAACUGUGGCUUUUUUCUUAUCUACCGAAAAGUGGGGAGGAAUCGCAGCGCACAGACGGCGGGCCCAGAAGAACUCCCGCGGCAGGACACCUCUUCAACCAUAUGGAAUACAGCAGGACUGAGCAGUGCUUAAGUGAUUCAGGCCAACCCCAAAAAUCUCGCGCACAAUAUUGUGAAAUUGCCUACAACUCCGUGCGACAGAGAUGACCAUACUUCCCGUCCGGACGAAUCUGCAAGUCAGCACUGUGAUGCUCUUGGCCAGCUGAAUGAUCCCUGACGCUCGCCCUGGCACAGCGACUGGGAGAAAGAAGCGCGAGACGUCUGAUGAAAAACGAAUUUCCAUUUCAAAUAUCUUGAUGAAUAUGGUAACGCAGAAAAAGUACUGUGAAACAUGCAAAAUAGCCGGUCAAGUGAAAGUCUCUGGACGGAGACUUUACCUGGCCUUGAGUUCAAGCAGAGACACAAAAGCCCAGAGAGAGAGAGAGAAAGAGAACCUUCGACUUUUUAGGACUCGACCUUUUUCUCAAAAUUACCACUACAUGGAGACGUAAUUAGUAAUUGCAACUGUGACAUUCCGGGCGACAGAGAGAGCCCCCCUCCCCCCUCCAUCCCAGAAGCUGAGAGACGCCACUGGAUUUUCCCCUUCUGGACACUCGCACGACCGUGUAUCUCCAGUCCAAAUAAGACAAUGUUCCAUAGCAAGUCACUUGGCAAGUGACAUUGAGGCAUCUUCAGGUGAUUGGGAAAGAAGGGAAUAAUUGGUCAGGAUGUCAGGCACUUUCCUGAGUAGCUGCCGCAUUGAAUUUCCUGCCAGAGUCACUCUCAAGUGCCCUCUCACGGAUUCACCUCAUGCAACAAUCUCCAGACGACGGCGGUGUGCGGCUACGAAAAUCGUCCCGAUGAGAGCAGAGGACCCCUCUGGCAGCGUAUCAUCUGGUUUCGACGAAAAGGUGGGCACACACGGAGGAGACAAAGGGACCUCAAGAUUGGGUGAGAGAUGAAAGGGUUGGAAAAAUUCGCUAGACGAGGAAGAGAGGUGUCAGUGAACUGGUUUACUCUGACUGGAGUGAACCCCAUCAAGGCCACGGAAUGUCUGGAUGCCGAAUCCCUGCCAUGGAAUUCUUCCUCCUUCCCAGCAGACGGUUUUUUGUCCGCCGCGCUGAAAAUCUCUUGAUGAAAUAUUUGGAGGGACCCUUGAGACAAUUCAGCGAGAGAGACAGAAUUCACACACACGAGGAACAUCUGUAGGAAACCCCAAAAAGCACAGCUCAUGGGCAACUCAGGAGAGGAGACAGAGAGAGAGAGAGCGCGAGGGACUCUUCUGCCCACCUGCUGCUUGAUUAAGAAUUAUUACCCCGCCCAGUGCGAAGAUCAACAGACACACCGUGCACUUUGUGGCCGAGGCAGCGAAGCACCGACGGCGCCUCUCUGUUGUUGGACUCAAGAAUGCAACGGAGGAGUUUAAUGCACCGUGAAAUUGGGUGAACAAAAGUCUGCUGCCUGCGUAUAACCCCUGGGAGGUGUACCACCAAGUGUUGUGUAUCGUUUGGGGGGAUCAUCGCGACCGAUCACUUGACACAGACACCAUCAGCUCUGUCCAAGUGACCGAUACAGGCGUGCGCACACUUCUCUUUUUUUUUAAUUGAAUUCACCCAGUGAUUAGCAAAUGGGUAUCGUUUCAGCACAGAUUCGAUCAUCCAACACACAUUAAGCCAAACAUAAAUCACCCACGCAACGAUCUUCACUUGUGAGUUUGAUCUUCUUGUUCAGCCAUUUCGAAAACAUGCAGUCGGCAUCUAUUUUUAAACCAUCAACCUCAUCCACUGUGCGCUCCUCACGCCGCCGAAGAAGACUCACCUCCUCACAGACCAUCCUCGAUUUCCCCGAGCAAUAUACUCUUUUUAUCUGUGUUAAUAGCUUCAAACAACUAAUUGACGCAUUCCCUAUAUUCAGCACGCACUAUAACUUUUUGUUUCAGUCUCCAUCUCUCUCGCGCACACUUGCUCUCCAUAGCCAUCCGUUGGGCCCCCGCGCGCGCCCCACAAGAUGCGAAUGAGACGCACGGGAUAUGAGAGGUGAACUUCCGGACAUGGGGAAGAUUUCUGUGUU